GGACAUUCACAAAACAAGUCCCCUGAGGAAUCUGCUGAAUAUUACCAAAAGAUGAGGACUACGCUGUACGCGCUCGUGCUGUGCCUGCUGAUUGCCAGUGUAGUGGCCAUCAAGGGCUUCGGAAAGGGCUACGGAGGAGGCUUCGGCAAAGGACACGGCGGAGGGUUCGGACACGGCGGAGGCUUUGGACACGGUGGAGGAUUUGGGCAUGGCGGAGGAUUCGGCCAUGGUGGAGGAAAAUUCCGCCACUUCGGUUAAGCACUAGUCGUCUCGGAAUGAACUCUGCCAAAUAAAUGUAUAUAUCGGAACUUCAAACCAGAA